UUUUUAAUCUUGUAUUUUAUUGUGCAUAUUAAGCCACACUUGAUUCUUAUCAAACAUGACACCUUUCAUCUAAAACGACAUAAUUUUUUCUUUGAAGAAAGUAAAACAAACGCAUGGGACAAUGGCAACAAUGGGUCGAUUUGCCACUUUUCAAAAUUUAUUUUCAAUAAUAACGACAAAAUGAAAUCGAUAUUUAAUCCAGUUUUAGCAAACUCUAACAAAUUCAGAUACGAAGUAAAUGUACAUGUAUCAUUUUCAUUUUCAAAGUUUGAAAAUACAGAGAAUUAAUUACCAGCUUUACAAGCUGGACGCUUUUGUUUCUAUUUUCAAAUACACUAUUAAAACAAUGUACAUGAUAAAAAUAAAUAAUUUUAUUUGAACAGCAUUAACAAAAAACAGUAGUCAUGUAGAUGUAUAUGUAAAAAAUAGGCAAAUGAUAGGCAAUCUUAAAAUUAUGUACUUUCUGAUCAUCUCGGAGGCACCUCUCUGCUUAAAUCAAAAUUAACAUGUAAUGAAAGACAUUAACAUUACCCUUUAUUUUUUAAAAGCCAAUUUUGCAAACUAAGAACAACACCCCGAUAUUUUUCUCUAUUACCUGAUGGUAAUGAUAAAUGCAGAGAUAAAAGUAGUUCACUAUGAUUGAAAGUAUAUCAAUCUUUGAUAAAAUAAAAAUUUGUUAUUUGUCACUGAUCCCCUGGAUUAUGGUUAUUAUGACGUAUAUUACGCUACGUUCCAUCUUAAAGUGCAUCCAACAUACCUAUAGGAUGCAUAGGAGUUCUUAAGUGACACUUUCGUAAAUUUCAAAGCACUUGAUCUAUGAUACAUGGACAAAAUGACUUCUUUUUUUAAUUUUUAACAGUUGUCAAAAUGAGGUAUUUCAUGAAAGUUGAUUUAAAUACUGUACAUGUUUUGAUUAUUUCGCUAAUGCUACACAUUUCACAAUCACAGCAAACUUUAUGAGAAGCACAAUUUCAAAUAAUAUAUUGCUAAAUAAUGCCAAACAAGGCAUGGGACUCUUUUCAUCCUCCAUUUUUGUAAUAAAUGCAAAAAUUAAAUAAUUUCAUAAGUCAUGCUUCACUUGAAUUA